UAGAGGCUUGCCAUCUCUCAAGACACUCCUGAAUCCGUUGCUCCACAGAUCUGCACUCGACUCUCUAGAGUUGCCUCUCCGUGAUCAAGACGUCAAGAUAGGUCAGCAUCCCAGUCUGCUCUCGGAUCCCAAGCCUCAUCCGAAUCGCCUACUUCACCUGGGUCCUCAUCCGAGGGUUUAAAAUGAUCGAAGACUUAUGAAGGUUCACCAUUUGGUCAGA
rnacentral:lncRNA from 1 species